GUUUUAACAAAAUGAAAGCAUUCUUAAUUCGCCAUCAAGUAUCCCUGGUAACCACUACCUCACUCAUAAAACCGAAGUGCCCAGUUCUCCACAAGCUAUUCUUCAAUUGAAGGAAGUUUGAGGACUUUGAGUUGAUCGUUCCUGUGACAAGUGAGGAAAACAUUUAACAUAAUUGCUCAAGAUGUCUAUUCUGGCAAAGUUCUUCAUUUUUGUGUUGUUAAGUGGCAUGGUUUUGGGCGGAAAAAUCCAUGAAGAUUCGCCUGAAGGUGCAGUAACACACCAUCAGGAGAAGCGAAUGAUAUGCCCGUUCUCUUGUAAGGAAGAAGCGUGUCCUUAUGGAAUGUUACAGAUAGGUGGCGACUGUCCUUAUCCGUUUCAAGUCUGUUGUCAGCCGAUGUGAGAAGUCAUUUCCAUAUGACAGGAGGCUAUUUAGCCCUCAGUAAGCGAGUUGAAACUGUAAUCGUUUUGACUAAAUGAAAUAAAAGCAUGUAAAACGUUAAUGUC